rnacentral:siRNA from 1 species
AUAACCGUUCGCCAGGAUUCUACG